UGAGCAAUCUGCCCUUCACAUCGGAAUAACCAUUGGAAACGAUGGCUAAUACCGAAUAUGACUUCGGAUCGCAUGAUCUGAAGUGGAAAGCUCCGGCGGUGAAGGAUGAGCUCGCGGCCUAUCAGCUAGUUGGUGGGGUAAUGGCUCACCAAGGCGACGACGGGUAGCUGGUCUGAGAGGAUGGCCAGCCACAUUGGGACUGAGACCAGGCCCAA
rnacentral:rRNA from 1 species